rnacentral:rRNA from 1 species
GUAGGUGGCGAGCGUUGUCCGGAUUUACUGGGCGUAAAGAGCGCGCAGGCGGUCGAGUCAGUCGAAUGUGAAAGCCCCCGGCUCAACUGGGGAGAGUCAUUCGAUACUGCUCGACUUGAAGGCAGGAGAGGGAAGCGGAAUUCCCGGUGUAGUGGUGAAAUGCGUAGAUAUCGGGAGGAACACCAGUGGCGAAGGCGGCUUUCUGGCCUGUUCUUGACGCUGAGGCGCGAAAGCUAGGGGAGCAAACGGGAUUAAAUACCCCGGUAGUCCUAGCCGUAAACGAUGGACACUAGGUGUUGGUGGUAUCAACCCCGCCAGUGCCGUAGCUAACGCAUUAAGUGUCCCGCCUGGGGAGUACGGCCGCAAGGCUA